GAGGCCAACAGUCACGCGAAGCCACUUCGGGAAUUCAUUUCGAGGGGACCUUUCACAUUGCCUUCCCUCAGAAACUCUAUUUCGUUUUCAUACCUAUCUAGCAGGGCUGUUGCUAGUAUAAAUACCCCCUAAGACUCAUUGUAAUCCAAGACUUUGAUAAUUGAAAUACAGAACCCCUUUGUUCAGCUGCGUGCUAACAAAUUCAGAGAGUGAUCUCUACCCCUUUGCUCUUGUGUUUUCCUUCGCGGAGAUUACAGAAGCGGCCACGUCAUCGGCACCCAAUCCGUGCUCCUGAUCCUCGAGUUCAGGUUGCGUAGGUUGGAUCUUUGAGAGUGUGGUUGGACGAAUCCUUGGUUCAGGCUGCCGUAUAGAGACGGUGGUUGGCUCCUUGUGCGUGUCGUCAGGUUGCACUAGUUAUCCUCGCUGCUUGCAGCAAGUUAUCGGCUGAUCUUCAGCUAGUUAUCCUACGUCGUGAAGAUCGGGACAACGACCUCACCAUCUGGUAUCAAAGCUCAAGUUUCCAUGGUAGGAUUUUUACCCUUAGCUACAUAUAUAUAUCUUGUUCGUCCUAUCCACCAAAAAGCCAUAAAAAAAUUGCAUUAGCCCUUUGUUUCAAUCUGUUUUUCUUGUGAGUUUGGUUAAGUUUCAGUCCAUUAGAGUUUUGUUUAGUUGCUGAUCAUCAUAUCCUUUGUGUGUCCUUUGUGCCUCUUUUAUAUCUACAAAUCCCUAAAGAAAAUCUGAAACCGGUAUCAUCCUUCGCGUAAACUUUGAUCCUAUCAAGUUAGAACGCUGACGGUUGUGUCUUGUUUCAAAAAAAAAAGUGUGUGCAAGUGUUAUAUCUGCUCUUGUUCUUAGUUAUAAAAAAAAGGUAUCAAAAAAAAGGAAAGUGAAAAAAAAGGAGAGUUGAGGAAGAAAAGUUGUGAAGAAAGAGUAGAAAGUUCACUCUGUUUAUGUGCUCAAGUUCUGAAUUUUAUAUCAAGUCACACAAUUAGUCAUUAUCCAUCUUUGGUGCAAAAUUUUGCUUGGUUUUGAUUGCAACACUUGCAUCCUAGGCAUACUCCUUGUUUGCAUCAAAUCUGAAUUAUCUUUGCGCGUGUGUUUGAUCUAUUUACAUCACCCAUAUCUUGUGGUCAGCACUAGGCAUUGAACUUCUAGUUUGGAUUGUGGUUUAACUUUACAAUAUCAAGAAUUCAGACUGCAUUCCUUGUGAAAUAUAUCCCCACCAAGCUCCACAAAUAACCCACCGUCAUAGGAAAAUACUGAUCUUGGAUUCUCCCAACCAUCAUUCUCGGUUACCACCUCGCAUUGGCCGUUGUAAUCUGCGGGGAACUCACAUGAGCUUCGGUUGGUAAGAGAGGUGAGAUUGUGAGAUUCCACAUAUAAUUCCCUAUUCUACAUAUAUUGUUGCUUUGCCUUCACUGAUUUUUUACAGCAAGAUGACUGAGCAUCCGGAGAUUGAUGAUUGUGUCACCAUGGCACAAUUCGAUGAGAUGAAACAAAGCAUGGAGACGCUAACAAACAAUGUUCAAGCACUCAUGAACCGGUUGCAAAUUCAUCCUCAUGAUAAUGCAAACGGCAGUCACCAUGAAGAUGAAGAUGAAGAAAGCGAAGGAGAAGCUGCUCGUCGUGCAAGGGAACGGCGUAGAGAGCGAGCUGCUGCCAAUGCAAGAAGACCUCCUUUUCCACGACGUGAUCAUGGUGGUAGAGAUGCUGGUCAUGGACAUGGGAGAGGUAUUGGAUUGGAAGAAAGUGAAACUGAGGAAGAGGAUGAACAGCCCCAUUAUGAUGAUCGUCGUCACCGAAGAAAUCGUAGGUGUAAUCAGCACAAUGAAGAGAGGUUUGGCAAGUUAAAAUUCACCAUGCCCCAGUUUGAAGGAGGAUCUGAUCCUGAAGCAUAUCUUACAUGGGAGUUGAAGGUGGAUAAAAUUUUUCGUGUGCAUAAUUAUUCUGAGAGAAAGAAGGUUGCCAUGGCUGCUCUUGAGUUCGAUGGGUAUGCUCUAAUCUGGUGGGAGCAAAUGUUGAAUGAAAGAGAAGAAGCUGGUCAAGGUGAUGUUUGUUCAUGGGCUGAAAUGAAGAGAGAAUUGAGAGCAAGAUUUGUCCCCAAACAUUAUCGCCGUGAUUUAUUUGACAAGCUACAGAAUCUGAAGCAAGGAAGCCUCAGUGUUGAUGAGUAUUAUAAAGAGAUGGAGAAGGCGAUGAUUAGAGCCAAUGUAAUUGAAGAUGAAGAGCAAACAAUUGCAAGAUUUAUGUCAGGGCUGCAUCGGAAUAUUCAGCGCAUUGUUGAAUUUCAGCAAUAUCGUAAUCUUGUUGAAUUGGUGCAUCAAGCUAGCAAAGCUGAGCGGCAAUUGCAGCAGGAUAUGAAGUCCACUAGAGGAGUAUCUUUCAGCACAAAGAGUGCAGCAAGUGGAAGUAAAUUUGCACCCAAAGGAAGUAGAAGUAAAGGUACAUUUUCCAGCUCAAAUGGUGGUGCGCGAUCUAGCAACCUUGGUUCUUCUAGUAGCAAAGAGUUGGCUGCUCAAAAUGAGAAAUUCAAAUCAGCAAACUCAGUGGGUUCUUCCAGCAAGAGUAGUGGAAUUCAGUGCUUCAAGUGUGGUGGUCGCGGUCAUGUUGCAAGAGAGUGUCCAAAUGCUAGAACCAUCAUUGUGAAUGAUCAAGGGGAGUAUGAAUCUGCUAGUGAGGAAGAACAAGAAGAUAGUGGAAGUGAGAGUAAUCUUGAGAAGGACAUCUGUGAAUUUGAAUCUGGUGCUGCUCUUGUUGUAACUCAGAUUUUGAGUGUACAAAUGAGCGAUGCUGAAAGUGGACAGCGGCACAAUCUUUUUCAGACUAGAGCUAAAGUGCAAGAUAAGGUUGUCAAAGUGAUCAUUGAUGGUGGCAGUUGCCACAAUCUUGCAAGCAAAGAAAUGGUUGAAAAGCUUGGGUUGAAGCUGCUGAAACAUCCCCAUCCAUAUCAUGUGCAAUGGCUUAAUAAUUCAGGUUCUAUUAAGAUUGCACAAAGAGUGAAAGUUCCAUUCAAGAUUGGUGAAUAUAUUGACACUGUAGAGUGUGAUGUGGUGCCUAUGACAGUGUGCCACAUGCUGCUGGGAAGACCAUGGCAAUAUGAUCGAUCGUCUCUACAUUGUGGUAGAACCAAUCAAUACACCAUCAAGUGGAAGAACAAGGAGUUGAUUCUGAAACCCAUGACACCGCAGCAAAUCCUAGCUGAGCACUUGCAAAAGAGCUCCGAAGUGAGGAAUGAGAGUGCAAAAGAAGUAGAGAAAAAUAAUUUGAGUGCCCUCCACAAAUCAGUGAGUGAGAGCCAGAAGCCAAACAUGAGAGAUGACAGAAAAAGAGAGGGAGAGAACUUCGUGAUGAUAGCCACCAAAUCUGAAAUGAGAGAUGUGAGGAAAAACCCAGAUCAAGUACUAUUUGUACUUGUGUGCAAGGACACAUUGCUUUCAGCUAAUGACUUAACAUCUGUCCCUAGUGUUGUUGCACAUGUUUUGCAAGACUAUGACGAUGUUUUUCCAAAGGAAACACCUGCUGGACUUCCUCCUUUGCGCGGUAUUGAACAUCAAAUUGAUCUCAUCCCUGGAGCUGCACUUCCAAACCGUCCGGCAUACCGCACCAAUCCGGAAGAAACCAAGGAGAUUCAAAGGCAAGUACAAGAACUUUUAGAUAAAGGAUAUGUGCGAGAAAGUUUAAGUCCUUGUGCUGUUCCUGUGAUUUUGGUGCCAAAGAAAGAUGGUUCUUGGAGGAUGUGUGUAGAUUGUAGAGCCAUAAACAACAUCACCGUUCGUUAUCGUCAUCCUAUUCCUAGGCUAGAUGACAUGCUUGAUGAAUUGAGUGGUUCUAUGAUGUUUUCUAAAAUUGAUUUGAGAAGUGGUUACCAUCAAAUUAGAAUGAAGAUUGGAGAUGAAUGGAAAACUGCUUUUAAAACAAAGUUUGGGCUGUAUGAAUGGUUAGUUAUGCCUUUUGGUUUGACCAAUGCCCCUAGUACGUUCAUGAGAUUGAUGAACCAUGUCUUGCGAGCAUUCAUCGGAAAGUUUGUUGUUGUUUACUUUGAUGAUAUUCUAAUUUAUAGCAAGACAUUGGAGGAACAUGUUGAUCAUAUUAAGCAAGUUUUGGAUGUGCUAAGAAAAGAAAAAUUAUUUGCUAACCUUGAGAAGUGCACAUUUUGUACAGAUCAGGUUGUGUUUCUUGGUUUUGUUGUUUCAGGUUCAGGAAUUCAGGUUGAUGAAUCAAAGGUGAAAGCAAUCAAGGAUUGGCCAACUCCUGAAAAUGUGAGUCAGGUGAGAAGUUUUCAUGGACUUGCUGGUUUUUAUAGGAGAUUUGUGAGAGAUUUCAGCACCAUAGCUGCUCCGUUGAAUGAGUUAACAAAGAAAGGUGUUGCCUUCCAAUGGGGUGAACCACAAGAGAGAGCAUUCCAAGAAUUGAAGAAGAGGCUAUCCGAAGCCCCCUUGCCGGUAAAGAAGAACCUGAAGGAGUGGGAAGAGUGCUUGCCACAUGUAGAAUUCGCUUACAACAGGGCAGUACAUUCUACAACUAAUAUGUGUCCUUUUGAAGUUGUGUAUGGAUUCAAACCCCUUGCUCCGAUCGAUUUGUUGCCUCUACCAUUGCAGGAAAGGAUUAACAUGGAAGCAUCCAAGCGUGCAUCAUAUGUCAAGAAGAUUCAUGAGAAGACCAAAGAAGCAAUCGAAAGAAGGUCCAAGUACUAUGCUAAUUGGGCAAACAAGCAUCGCAAGAAGGUGAUAUUUGAGCUCGGAGAUUUAGUGUGGGUACAUCUUCGCAAAGACCGCUUUCCUGAGAAGCGUAAAUCCAAGUUGAUGCCACCGGGAGAUGGUCCAUUCAGAGUGUUGUCCAGGAUCAAUGAUAAUGCCUACAAGAUUGAGUUUCCUGAAGAUUAUGGUGUUAGCACAACCUUUAAUGUUGCUGACUUGACACCAUUCUUUGGAUUAGAAGAAUCAGAGUCGAGGUCGACUCCUUUUCAAGAGGGGGAGGAUGAUGAUGACAUCCCAACCAAGCAUGCUCCCUCUAAUUCCAUGCCAACCUCUACACCGACUACGUCGGCACCAGCCCAAGCCAUUGAUGGAGCAAUUACACGUAGCCGAGCCAAGAAGCUACAACAAGAGGUGAACGCGCUACUUUGUGAGAGUUCUAUUAAUGUUAAUGAGAAUAUUAUACUACCUAAGUGUUCUACUUUGGUUGUGCUUAGGUAUACACAUGAGGAGGGAGGUGACCUAGAUCGCAAGGAUUGGAACAACACGGUGCAGAACGGACCAGUUGAAAGAAGGGCAGAUCGGACCAGUGCGGUGCAGAACGGACCAGUUGAAAGAAAAGAUCAUAACUUUCACUUUCGAGAUGCUAUGAAGGCCCAUGAGCACUUGUUGGAAAGCUCUUCGAGUCUACUUUCCAAUGAAUCUAGUGGAGACCAGUUUGGAUACUCCAUAUUUCCUGCAGACCAGAAUUAGUACAGACUGCUCAGAAGGUCAACAGUCUGUCGUGACAGAAUGUUGGUACAACUUGCCAAGUGAAACUGUACCAAUAUACAGCGUUUCGUGGUGCAUGGAAUACAUUGAUGGAAAGCUCUUGGAGUCUAGUUUCACACCCAAGAAACGGUUCAUCAUUUGGACUUCCCAAUAAAAAGUUAUGGUCAGUUUAUUGGAAACUGCUCUGGAGGCCAACAGUCACGCGAAGCCACUUCGGGAAUUCAUUUCGAGGGGACCUUUCACAUUGCCUUCCCUCAGAAACUCUAUUUCGUUUUCAUACCUAUCUAGCAGGGCUGUUGCUAGUAUAAAUACCCCCUAAGACUCAUUGUAAUCCAAGACUUUGAUAAUUGAAAUACAGAACCCCUUUGUUCAGCUGCGUGCUAACAAAUUCAGAGAGUGAUCUCUACCCCUUUGCUCUUGUGUUUUCCUUCGCGGAGAUUACAGAAGCGGCCGCGUCAUCGGCACCCAAUCCGUGCUCCUGAUCCUCGAGUUCAGGUUGCAUAGGUUGGAUCUUUGAGAGUGUGGUUGGGCGAAUCCUUGGUUCAGGCUGCCGUAUAGAGACGGUGGUUGGCUCCUUGUGCGUGUCGUCAGGUUGCACUAGUUAUCCUCGCUGCUUGCAGCAAGUUAUCGGCUGAUCUUCAGCUAGUUAUCCUACGUCGUGA
rnacentral:lncRNA from 1 species